GUCUACGGCCAUACCACCCUGAACGCGCCCGAUCUCGUCUGAUCUCGGAAGCUAAGCAGGGUCGGGCCCGGUUUAGUACUUGGAUGGGAGACCGCCUGGGAAUACCGGGUGCUGUAGGCU
rnacentral:rRNA from 1 species